rnacentral:rRNA from 1 species
UACGUAGGUGGCAAGCGUUGUCCGGAAUUAUUGGGCGUAAAGCGCGCGCAGGCGGCUUCUUAAGUCUGAUGUGAAAUCUCGGGGCUCAACCCCGAGCGGCCAUUGGAAACUGGGAAGCUUGAGUACAGAAGAGGAGAGUGGAAUUCCACGUGUAGCGGUGAAAUGCGUAGAGAUGUGGAGGAACACCAGUGGCGAAGGCGACUCUUUGGCCUAUAACUGACGCUGAGGCGCGAAAGCGUGGGGAGCAAACAGG